UACGUAGGGGGCUAGCGUUGUCCGGAAUCAUUGGGCGUAAAGCGCGUGUAGGCGGUCCGGUAAGUCCGCUGUGAAAGUCGGGGGCUCAACCCUCGGAUGCCGGUGGAUACGGUCGGGCUUGAGUACGGAAGAGGCGAGUGGAAUUCCUGGUGUAGCGGUGAAAUGCGCAGAUAUCAGGAGGAACACCAAUUGCGAAGGCAGCUCGCUGGGACGUUACUGACGCUGAGACGCGAAAGCGUGGGGAGCAAACAGG
rnacentral:rRNA from 1 species